rnacentral:rRNA from 1 species
CCUACGGGAGGCAGCAGUGGGGAAUUUUGGACAAUGGGCGAAAGCCUGAUCCAGCCAUUCCGCGUGAGUGAAGAAGGCCUUCGGGUUGUAAAGCUCUUUCGCAAGGAAAGAAAACUUAUCUCCUAAUACGGGGUGAGGAUGACGGUACCUUGAUAAGAAGCACCGGCUAACUACGUGCCAGCAGCCGCGGUAAUACGUAGGGUGCGAGCGUUAAUCGGAAUUACUGGGCGUAAAGCGUGCGCAGGCUGUUUUGUAAGUCAGAUGUGAAAUCCCUGGGCUCAACCUAGGAACUGCGUUUGAAACUACAAGGCUAGAGUGUAGCAGAGGGGGGUAGAAUUCCACGUGUAGCAGUGAAAUGCGUAGAGAUGUGGAGGAAUACCAAUGGCGAAGGCAGCCCCCUGGGUUAACACUGACGCUCAUGCACGAAAGCGUGGGGAGCAAACAGGAUUAGAUACCCUGGUAGUCCACGCCCUAAACGAUGUCUACUAGUUGUUGGGAGAGUAAAAUCUCUUAGUAACGCAGCUAACGCGUGAAGUAGACCGCCUGGGGAUACGGUCGCAAGAUUAAAACCUUAAAGGAAUUGACGGCUGAGAGNGCGAGACGACGACGAGGGAGAGG